UUAGGAAUAUUCGUCAAUGGGGGAAACCCUGAACGAGCAAUGCCGCGUGAAUGAUGACGGCCCUAUGGGUUGUAAAAUUCUGUUGUUUGGAAAAAAUGACAGUUAGAGGAAAUGCUAACUGUUUGAUGGUACCAUUCAAGAAAGCCACGGCUAACUACGUGCCAGCAGCCGCGGUAAUACGUAGGUGGCGAGCGUUAUCCGGAUUUAUUGGGCGUAAAGGGUGCGCAGGCGGUUUAUUAAGUCUAAAAUUAAACCUUGGAGCUUAACUCCAUUUCGUUUUAGAAACUGAUAGACUUGAGUAUGGUAGAGGCAAAUGGAAUUCCUAGUGUAGCGGUGGAAUGCGUAGAUAUUAGGAGGAACACCAGUGGCGAAGGCGAUUUGCUAGGCCAUUACUGACGCU
rnacentral:rRNA from 1 species